rnacentral:rRNA from 1 species
GUGCCAGCAGCCGCGGUAAUACGUAGGUGGCAAGCGUUGUCCGGAUUUAUUGGGCGUAAAGCGAGCGCAGGCGGUUUCUUAAGUCUGAUGUGAAAGCCUUCGGCUUAACCGGAGAAGUGCAUCGGAAACUGGGAGACUUGAGUGCAGAAGAGGACAGUGGAACUCCAUGUGUAGCGGUGAAAUGCGUAGAUAUAUGGAAGAACACCAGUGGCGAAGGCGGCUGUCUGGUCUGUAACUGACGCUGAGGUUCGAAAGCAUGGGUAGCGAACAGGAUUAGAUACCCUGGUAGUCCAUGCCGUAAACGAUGAGUGCUAAGUGUUGGAGGGUUUCCGCCCUUCAGUGCUGUAGCUAACGCAUUAAGCACUCCGCCUGGGGAGUACGACCGCAAGGUUGAAACUCAAAGGAAUUGACGGGGGCCCGCACAAGCGGUGGAGCAUGUGGUUUAA